GCCCGGGUGGUGAAAUUGGUAGACGCAGCGGACUUAAAAUCCGCCGGCCGCAAGGUCAUACGGGUUCAAGUCCCGUCCUGGGCACCA
rnacentral:tRNA from 1 species